rnacentral:tRNA from 1 species
UGCUCUCGUGGCGGAACGGCAGACGCACUAGGGAGAGAACCUAGUUUUUUACAGGUUCAAAUCCUGUCGGGAGCAUC